rnacentral:sRNA from 1 species
AGACAGGGUCUCGCUCUGCCACACAGGCUGGAGUGCAAUGGCACAGUCAUAGCUCACUGCAACCUCAGCCUUCCACAUUUGAGACAUUGUAAGUUCAGAGGCAUGAGAGUUAGCAUCCAGAGGCAGCAGACACCAGCAGCACAGCUGUUUCUCCCGCAGGGUCAUUGCCAGCAGAACAUCCUACACCAAUGGCUCUUUGGGCAGGAUCUUGGCUGUGCUUUGUCUGUCUAGCUUCAUGCCUAAGUUUGCCAAGAGCCCUGAUCCAGGUGAAUUGUGUAAACCUUGCACGUGGAAUUCCCAGCAAAGAAGCUGUAGGGAUCGGGAUAGGGCCUGGGAAGUGUCUGACUUACAGAAACCCGCCAUGUCUUGUUCUCUGCUGGAGACCUCUGCUUCUCCAUCUUGUGAACAUCCACAGGCCCCCUGCACCGUAAUCUUGCCCUCUCACUGUUGACUCAGUCCUCAUGGAAGUUAUAAAAGAACUUGUGUGGAUUAGCUUGCUAAAUACAUCCAAGAUUUGAAGAACUGAAAACAAAAUCAGUAUUAAACCUGCUUUUUAAAAAUGUAAGUGAAGUAACUUCUGGCCAUGGUUCAUUUCAGACCUCUCUAAAGCCUGAAAUUACCUCUCAGUGUAUGUGAAUUUUUUUCCAGGAGUAAAGUUACUUGACUCUAGUGAGUCUA